AGAGGGUGCAAGCGUUAAUCGGAAUUACUGGGCGUAAAGGGCGCGUAGGUGGUUAGUUAAGUCAGAUGUGAAAGCCCCGAGCUUAACUUGGGAAUUGCACCUGAAACUGGCUAACUAGAGUGCAGUAGAGGGAAGUGGAAUUUCCGGUGUAGCGGUGAAAUGCGUAGAUAUCGGAAGGAACACCAGUGGCGAAGGCGACUUCCUGGACUGUAACUGACACUGAGGCGCGAAAGCGUGGGGAGCAAACGGGAUUAGAUACCCUGGUAGUCCACGCCGUAAACGAUGAGAACUAGCUGUUGGGAAGUUUACCCUUCUCAGUGGCGCAGCUAACGCAAUAAGUUCUCCGCCUGGGGGAGUACGGCCGCAAGGUUA
rnacentral:rRNA from 1 species